UACGUAGGGUGCGAGCGUUAAUCGGAAUUACUGGGCGUAAAGCGUGCGCAGGCGGUUUCGUUAUGUCCGAUGUGAAAGCCCCGAGCUCAACUUGGGAAUGGCAUUGGAAACUGGCGGGCUGGAGUGUGGCAGAGGGGGUGGAAUUCCGACGUGUAGCAGUGAAAUGCGUAGAGAUGUGGAGGAACACCGAUGGCGAAGGCAGCCCCUGGGCCAACACUGACGCUCAGGCACGAAAGCGUGGGGAGCAAACAGG
rnacentral:rRNA from 1 species